AUGAACCGGCGAGUUACGAUUUGAUGCAAGGUUAAGCAGUAAAUGUGGAGCCGUAGCGAAAGCGAGUCUGAAUAGGGCGUUUAGUAUUUGGUCGUAGACCCGAAACCAGGUGAUCUACCCUUGGUCAGGUUGAAGUUCAGGUAACACUGAAUGGAGGACCGAACCGACUUACGUUGAAAAGUGAGCGGAUGAACUGAGGGUAGCGGAGAAAUUCCAAUCGAACCUGGAGAUAGCUGGUUCUCUCCGAAAUAGCUUUAGGGCUAGCCUCAAGUGAUGAUUAUUGGAGGUAGAGCACUGUUUGGACGAGGGGCCCCUCUCGGGUUACCGAAUUCAGACAAACUCCGAAUGCCAAUUAAUUUAACUUGGGAGUCAGAACAUGGGUGAUAAGGUCCGUGUUCGAAAGGGAAACAGCCCAGACCACCAGCUAAGGUCCCAAAAUAUAUGUUAAGUGGAAAAGGAUGUGGCGUUGCCCAGACAACUAGGAUGUUGGCUUAGAAGCAGCCAUCAUUUAAAGAGUGCGUAAUAGCUCACUAGUCGAGUGACACUGCGCCGAAAAUGUACCGGGGCUAAACAUAUUACCGAAGCUGUGGAUUGUCCUUUGGACAAUGGUAGGAGAGCGUUCUAAGG
rnacentral:rRNA from 1 species